CAGUAGCCACGGUAAUACGGAGGGUGCUAGCGUUGUUCGGAAUUACUGGGCGUAAAGCGCGCGUAGGCGGUUACUCAAGUCAGAGGUGAAAGCCCGGGGCUCAACCCCGGAACUGCCUUUGAAACUAGGUGACUAGAAUCUUGGAGAGGUCAGUGGAAUUCCGAGUGUAGAGGUGAAAUUCGUAGAUAUUCGGAAGAACACCAGUGGCGAAGGCGACUGACUGGACAAGUAUUGACGCUGAGGUGCGAAAGCGUGGGGAGCAAACAGGAUUAGAUACCCGCGUAGUCCCUGUCUCUUAUAC
rnacentral:rRNA from 1 species